rnacentral:lncRNA from 1 species
GCUCUCUUGCCCACCCAGCUCCUGGCUUCUUCUAUCUCUACUAUGUUCACUCUUCCAUGCCCAGCUGGACAUGAGAUGGUGUGGUUUGCAAAUAUUCUGCUACUCUAGGGCCCAUCUCCCUGUAGUCUCCCCACUGCCCCAACACUGAAGUCUUAGCACGCCCCCCAUCCCCAGACUGCUCUUCUCUGCCAUAAGCCUGUCAAGGCCCUCCUCUUCCAAGAAGAUGGCUCUUAUCACACCAGUCCUCUUUCUUUCCAUUCACUCCCUGUAAUUUUGAUUCAGCUCACAUCCAUGCUGCUUGGUGCUUUUUGAAAUUCCAUGGAAUGUUCCUAUUGCAUGAUGCCUACUAUGGACUGAAUUUGUGUCUCCCCUAAAUUCACAGGGAAAUGCUCUCCUGACCUCAAUGUGACUAUAUAGUCUGACCUCCAUGUAUAUCUGUGGAUUUUGUACUCAUGGAUUCAACCAACAGAAGUUUGAAAAUAUUUGGAAAAACAAUUUAUGUUCUUGCUGACAGGUACUGUAUAAUUUGGCCUUUUAUGGCUGCACCUGAACUGAACAUGCACAGAGACAUUUUUUCUUGUCAUUAUUUCCCAAACAAUACAUAAACAACAAUUUAUUUAGCAUUUACGUUGUAUUAGCUGCAAGUAAUCUACAGCUGAUUUAAAAUACACAGGAGGAUAUGUGUAGACUAUGUGCAAAUACUACACCAUUUUAUAUCCCCACUGCCAGGUGGAUCUGCUCUCUCAUUUAUUUAUGGUACUUGAGUACUCUUGGAUUUUGGCACCCAAGAAGGAGUCCUGAAACCAAUCUCCCAUGGUAUACUGAGGAAUGACUAUACUUGGACAUAGGGCUUUUAGAAGGUGAUUAAAGUUAAAUGAGUUAUAAGCAUGAAAUUUUAAUCCGAUAGAAUUGAUGGCCUUAUAAAGAAGAGAUAGGAAGAGGAAGACAGAGAGAACUCUUCCCCUACCCCAAACUCCAGCACACAUUUGAAGACACAAUGACAAGGUAGCCAUCCACAACCAGGAAGAAGGUCCUCACCAGAACCUGAUUGUGCUGGCAUCUGAUCUCCACUUUCAGCCUCCAGUGAGAAAAUAAAUGUCUAUUGUUUUGUUACAGCAGCCCAAAUUGACUAAGACAGUGUAUGUUUUGAUAAACUCUUUGCUACUAGGCCAGAUUGUUGUUGGUGUUUUUAAGAAAUUUCACUGCUGGUUAAAUGCAUCUACAAAGACACUCAGAACAUAUCAGAACAGAGCUGUUGCAUGUUCACAAACUGGGCACACUGAGUGACCGGUAUCUGAGACAAGGGCAGCAUAACAUUAGCACCUGCAAGGUCUCCUGCACCCCACACCAGCCUCAACCAGCCCCAACAGAAACCACCAUUCUGAUUUCCAAGCACGGAUGGUUUUGCCUGGUUUUGUACCUUUUGGAAACAGAACCAUGCUGUAUUCUCUCUUUUGUGUCUGGCUUCUCUUGCCCCCCCAUUUCAUGGUGACAUUCAUCCAUAUUGUUUUUCAUGGUUGUAGACUAUUCAUUCUUAUUGGUAUACGACAAUCCACUGCGGGAAUAGAUCACCAUGUAUUUAUUUCUCCACUUGCUGGCUGAGGGGCAUUUGGAAAGUCUCUGGUUUUAGCCAUUACAAGUAGUGCUGCCAUAGAAAUUCCAGGAGUGCAGAUGCUUGGGUCACAAGAUGUGCAUAUGCUCAGCUUCCAUGGGUACUGCCAAACAGUUUUCCAAAGUAAUCAAAUUGCUUUGCCAGCCAUUACUUACCAGCCAUCUGUGAGAAGAGCUAUUUUUUGGUUCUCCUCUAUGCCUUUGUCAUAGUAAGGAGUAGAUGCAGGGUAUUCAAGAAACACUUGCUAAAUGAGUAGAGAGAAUUUUCUUAAUGUUCAGCCAUACCUGUGAAUGAAACAGGGGGGUUAAUCAGGAACUCAGCAUAUUUAGGAACUCCUAUUAGCCAUGGGGAAAAAAAUUGCUCUUUUUGUUUGAGUCUGGUUGGGAAAGCUGUGGCCACAUCUCUAACUCCCUGUUUUCUGGAUUACUCCAUUAAACAUCUGUGAUGGAAAUUUCCUUGGAGAAGGAGCCUAGCACUGCAAUGAUGCGGAACCCCUGUUCUUUCCUCUCUUCAGAUAUUUCUAAGCAGUAAAGCAGAAAGUUGAGAGGAAGUUAGAGGCAAGGGGGAAUCAAUCAUGCAGCUUGGGAAGCCAUGUUCAAGGAUGAAGGAGGAAGACAGGAUGCAAAGAGUGGUCCGUUGGAAGGUCACUUUGGGAGAAGGGCAGAAAUGGCAGGAGCAAGGCCUGUUGCCCCCACCAGUUCUGAUCACGUGCACACUGUCUACAACUUGUGCCUCAGCAAAGCUCCUGGAAUUCCAAAGAGAGGAAGGGUGAGGCCAGCGGAAGCUGCUACCCACGUGACAAGUGAUCAGUCCCAUUGAAAAAUAGAGAAGUUCUUGCAAGGAACCCAGCAGAUUUCCUAUCCCAGCAUCCCGCAGGGAAGAAAGCUCCCAGCAGCUCUCCCCUCCCUUUUCUGGAUACACACCAGGUUCAGUGCUCCUUUUAAAAAUGUUCAGGUUGGAAGACGGAACCAGAAGAACAGAUGGGGUCCCUCUAAUACUCAGACCACACAACGGGAGCUUUAUCUUCCUUGAUAGGAAGUUAAAUUUUUAUUAAUAUCACAUAAAGAUUUUAAUUAGCUUUUUGGGGGGCAAUUAUGUUGUCAAUUCAUACUGAGUUUGUGGUGAACUGAAAAACCUGUCUACAUUUUUUUUCUUCAAUUUAAGUUGCUGUCCUUCCUAGUUGGCCUCUUGCAACAUUUUUUUAAGGCCUAAUUUUAAUACUUAUAUUUCCUUUUUCUUUUUUUUUCCAUCACCCAGAUUAGGCCUAGAACCUUGGUAACCAUUGAUAAGCCAACAGGUGCCCUUACUUUCCCCUGGCAACUUCUCAAAUCCUUCCUUUUCUUGGACAUAGUCUCUUUGCUCAUCCCCUCACCUGGAAGCCUCUGUCCUUCUCUCCACACUUCCAACCCCAGACUUGGUUUAGGUAAUCCUUACUUGGCUUGCUCAGUGGAACCCCCCCUCCCUCACUAGCAGCUAAGAACUGGCAUCCCUGGGAAGACAGCUGCUUCCGCCAGGAGCCCAGAUCCAGGAGAUUCUAGGAGUGCAGUCGCUGGGUCACAGAUAUGCAUAUACUCAGCACAUUCUUUCCCCUUUCCUCCUUCCCUGUCUCCUCUUGUUUUUGUUUGUUAUUACAGGCUCUGGCUCUCUGGCUCCUUCCCAUCUCAGAUGCACUAGUAGAGAGGCCAGAAGGGAGGAUGGCACCUGGGAUGCACACUCAAAGGGUUUCUUGGGCUAAGCCUGCGCUGCUUCGGGUGAGAGGUGCCGUGGAGAAGGAGAUGCUGGUUAGUAGAUGGAGAAAGCCUUGAAGAAAAACACCAACUACCAAUGAUGAGAAGGACCCUCACACUGCUCCCAAUCCAGCCAGAGAGAUAAUUGAGUUGGAAUUUUUCUUGGAAAGGAGUGGACAUAAUUAGAUAAGUAAUUUAUGUUCUCCCUCCCUACUUCCUUUCCCCAUCUUUCUUUCCCCCUUUCCUCCCUCCCUGUCUCCUCCUGGUUUUGUUUGGAUCUGGAAUGGCUCCAAAGACCCAUAUGUUAAAGGUUUGGUUGCCAUUGGUGACUUUAUUGGGAAGAGGUGAGAACUUUAGAAGGUGGAAGACAGUAGGUUACUGGGCUGUGUCCUUGAAGAGAAUAUUUUGUCCUUCACCUCUUCUUCUCUCUGUUGCUGCCUCCCAGACACCAUGAAGUGAGCAGCAUGGCUCCACCAUAUGCUUCCUGCCAUGAUGUUCUACCUCACCACAGGUCCCCAAAUCAAUGGAUCCAUGGAGCUAAGAAACCCUGGACUGAAACCUAAACCCUAAGUAACCCUGGACUGAAAUUCUGAGCCAAAAUAAAUCUUCCAACCUUUAAUCUGAUUCUCUCAGGUGUUUUGUCACAGUGUGAAAAGCUGACUUACACACUCUCCCUCCAUCACUGUCCUUCUCCCUUCCAUAUUUAUUGAGGAUGC